GACGUAGGGCGCGAGCGUUGUCCGGAUUUAUUGGGCGUAAAGAGCUCGUAGGCGGCUUGUCGCGUCGACUGUGAAAUCCCGAGGCUCAACUUCGGGCUUGCAGUCGAUACGGGCAGGCUAGAGUUCGGUAGGGGAGACUGGAAUUCCUGGUGUAGCGGUGAAAUGCGCAGAUAUCAGGAGGAACACCGGUGGCGAAGGCGGGUCUCUGGACCGAUACUGACGCUGAGGAGCGAAAGCGUGGGGGAGCGAACAGG
rnacentral:rRNA from 1 species